rnacentral:rRNA from 1 species
AUUGAACGCUGGCGGCAGGCCUAACACAUGCAAGUCGAGCGGAUGACGGGAGCUUACUCCUUGAUUCAGCGGCGGACGGGUGAGUAAUGCCUAGGAAUCUGCCUGGUAGUGGGGGACAACGUUUCGAAAGGAACGCUAAUACCGCAUACGUCCUACGGGAGAAAGCAGGGGACCUUCGGGCCUUGCGCUAUCAGAUGAGCCUAGGUCGGAUUAGCUAGUAGGUGAGGUAAUGGCUCACCUAGGCGACGAUCCGUAACUGGUCUGAGAGGAUGAUCAGUCACACUGGAACGGAGACACGGUCCAGACUCCUACGGGAGGCAGCAGUGGGGAAUAUUGGACAAUGGGCGAAAGCCUGAUCCAGCCAUGCCGCGUGUGUGAAGAAGGUCUUCGGAUUGUAAAGCACUUUAAGUUGGGAGGAAGGGCAGUAAGUUAAUACCUUGCUGUUUUGACGUUACCGACAGAAUAAGCACCGGCUAACUCUGUGCCAGCCGCCGCAGUAACAC